UGACUUUCUACGAAAUUAAAUCACAGGCUAAGCCUGUAGGAGUUUAAUCUGAACUAUCUCCGGACGUGGGUUCAAUUCCCACCGCCUCCACAU
rnacentral:tmRNA from 1 species